CCUACGGGAGGCAGCAGUGGGGAAUUUUCCGCAAUGGGCGAAAGCCUGACGGAGUGACGCCGCGUGUGGGAUGAAGGCCUUCGGGUCGUAAACCACUGUCAGUGGGAAAGAAGGGCAUCGGCGCGAUAACCGCCGGUGUCUGACGGUACCUGCAGAGGAAGCCCCGGCCAACUCUGUGCCAGCAGCCGCGGUAAGACAGAGGGGGCAAGCGUUGCUCGGAAUUACUGGGCGUAAAGGGCGCGUAGGCGGGAUGGCAAGUCGGUCGUGAAAUCCUUCGGCCCAACCGAAGAACGUCGAUCGAUACUGCUGUUCUAGAGGAUUGCAGAGGAGACUGGAAUUCCCGGUGUAGCGGUGAAAUGUGUAGAGAUCGGGAGGAACACCGGUGGCGAAGGCGGGUCUCUGGGCAAUUCCUGACGCUGAGGCGCGAAAGCGUGGGGAGC
rnacentral:rRNA from 1 species